rnacentral:tRNA from 1 species
GGACGGCGUCGCGGGAGGACUAGGCCGUCGGGUCGGUCGCGGCGUCCGGCUGCGGGGCGUCCGCGGCCUCGCCGUUCCAGUCCUUGCCGGCCUC